rnacentral:misc_RNA from 1 species
GAUGAAGAACGUAGCGAAAUGCGAUAAGUAAUGUGAAUUGCAGAAUUCAGUGAAUCAUCGAAUCUUUGAACGCACAUUGCGCCCGCCAGUAUUCUGGCGGGCAUGCCUGUCCGAGCGUCAUUUCAACCAUCAAGCCCCCGGCUUGUGUUGGGGACCUGCGGCUGCCGCAGGCCCUGAAAACCAGUGGCGGGCUCGCUGUCACACCGAGCGUAGUAGAUUUUCAUCUCGCUCAGGGCGUGCUGCGGGUUCCGGCCGUAAAAAGCCUUAUUUACCCAAGGUUGACCUCGGAUCAGGUAGGAAGACCCGCUGAACUUAAGCAUAUCAAUAAGCGGAGGA